UACGGAGGGGGCGAGCGUUAUUCGGAAUUACUGGGCGUAAAGGGUUCGUAGGUGGUUAUAUAAGUCAGAUGUGAAAGCCCUGGGCUCAACCUGGUAACUGCAUUUGAUACUGUUUAACUAGAGUUUACUAGAGGAUUGGGGAAUUUCCGGUGUAGCGGUGAAAUGCGUAGAGAUCGGAAGGAACAUCAAUGGCGAAGGCAAUCUUCUGGGGUUGAACUGACACUGAUGGACGAAAGCGUGGGUAGCAAACAGGAUUAGAUACCCUGGUAGUCCAGGCUGUAAACGAUGAGUACUAGCUGUUGGGUCUGGUGUAAAAGACUUAGUGGCGCAGCUAACGCGAUAAGUACUCCGCCUGGGGACUACGGCCGCAAGGUUAAAACUCAAAGGAAUUGACGGGGACCCGCACAAGCGGUGGAGCAUGUGGUUUAAUUCGAUGCAACGCGAAGAACCUUACCUGCCCUUGACAUCCAUAGAAGAUCUGAGAGAUUGGGUUGUGCCUUCGGGAACUAUGAGACAGGUGCUGCAUGGCUGUCGUCAGCUCGUGUUGUGAAAUGUUGGGUUAAGUCCCGCAACGAGCGCAACCCUUAUUUUUAGUUGCCAUCAUUAAGUUGGGCACUCUAGAGAGACUGCCGCUGAUAAGGCGGAGGAAGGUGGGGACGACGUCAAGUCAUCAUGGCCCUUACGGGCAGGGCUACACACGUGCUACAAUGGGCAUUACAGAGGGAAGCGAAGCUGCGAGGUGGAGCGAAUCUCAGAAAGGUGUUCGUAGUCCGGAUUGCUGUCUGCAACUCGAGAGCAUGAAGUCGGAAUCGCUAGUAAUCGCGGAUCAGAAUGCCGCGGUGAAUACGUUCCCGGGUCU
rnacentral:rRNA from 1 species